GCGACAUAAAAUAUCUACGGCCACACCAGUUCCCGUCCGAUCACUGCAGUUAAGCGUCUGAGGGUCUCGUUAGUACUAUGGUUGGAGACAACAUGGGAAUCCGGGAUGCUGUAGGCU
rnacentral:rRNA from 1 species